AUACGUGUUUUUCACACCCAGUCUUAAAAACAAGCUUCACUUAUUUGCUUGUUUUUAAGCAAAUAAGUGGGGGGGGGGGCUAUAAAUAAAAGGAAAAGCAACACCACACACACACACACACACACACACACACACACACACACAUCUGGUCUGACAUUUUGUACAGCAAGUUUCAGCCCAAUGUGAUUUAAAACAAUGUGAGUUAAAAACCUCUUAAAAUUUGGGUUUAUAAUGGAAACGCUGACAGACUCUUAAUUAUAGCAGCCUUGCCAGACACUGCUAUAAUGAAAUAGUUGUGCUUUCAUUACUAUAGAGGCACUAUAGUUAAGGGUCUGUCAGUGUUUCUAUUAUAAACCUCAAGUUUAAGAGGUUUAUAACUUGGGCUAUUUAAAUGGCACAGUGUGGAAUUCAAGUUAUCAGUCCAGAUGUGAAGUUGUUUUAUAAAAGAAUAACUCAGUGGAGGAAGAGCUGUUGGGGAUACUCUGUCUCUCUCUGUCUCUCUCUCCCCACCUCUUUCUCUCCCUCCCACCCUCCCUUUCUUCUUCUCUUCCUUACACAACAUCACAGAAAUUAUUUUUACUGCUUUCAGAUGGUCUUAUUGCCAACUUGUAGCUAUGACUUCACUGUCUAAAGGAAAUUUUAUAGGCAGUUAGUCCUUUAUUUGGACAAGUACUUUUUGCCAUUGUUAUAAGUUUUUACUAGUUUCUUAUCCUGGAAUACAUAUACACAACACACACACAAACUAAAAACAAGCAAACAAACAAACAAAUCAACACUAUGUUGAAGAAUGCAACCUCAUACACAUACUCAGAGGUACACAGUCUGUGUCACAUUCUGAUGAAAAAGUAUAAGAUUACCAAAGAGAAAUAAAGUACCUGAGAUCUUCUUUAUCUUGUCUAUCAACUGUAUGAUAAAAAUAAGAAGUAUUACUAUUUUAUUUCAACAAUUUGUAGCUUUCUUGAAAUUUGGUUUGUUCAGAAAGCAAAAGCUAGCAAGUGCAGUCAGCACUGGACUAUCCAAGGACCCUACAGAGAUACCAUAUAUGUCUCUCCUUGACUUUGUUGGCAGAUGGGUGGAGAAUUUAUCUUGGAUGAUCUAAUGAACCAGAAUUGUGAAAUAUGUUCUAUUAACCUGGUAUACCAUCACCACGAUAUGUAAUGUUUGUUAGUAUGAUGUGGCUGAUGUUGAUUCUAACAUAAGGAAAAUAAGGAUGGUGGUGAUGAUGUCGGCAGUGAUCAUGGUGAUGGCAGUAGUGGUGAUGGAGGUGACGAUGAUGGUGGUGGAGAUGGUGCUGAUGGUGGAGGCUGAAGAUAGGGGUGGGGGUGGUUUCCCUCGUUAACACACCCAUCAGCGAGCAGUAGAAAUCGGAUGAAAGAUGAAGCUGAAAACCUCAAACCCUUGCUUCUCCAACUCUUAUCCCUUUGAGAAAGGCUUUCCAUAAAGAUGAGGUGGUAGAUGGGCUAAAAUGAAGUUCUCAAGUACAUGCUGCUCUGGGGUCCUCCUACACACCCCAAGAUGUGGCCCUGGCUGAGUAUUUUUGGCAGAUCCCUAAGGUCACUGACUUCACACAGAAAAAGACCCACCAGGAACUAUGCAACAACCAUAUCUGCCUUUAGAAACCUUUUCACUUCCAGAAGGAGAGCAAUUCCUUUCCUCUGUUCUGACUCAAAUCAGACCACCAAAUUAGGUCAGCAAGGACCAUACGGCCUUGAUCAUUCUCACUUCACAGUAGUUUUAGUUGUUUUCCUCUCAAAUUAGCUAGGUGACAAAAGAGAAGCAGUCAUCAAAACAUGUCACCAGGCACAAGUUCCUUUUCUGACAGUGUCUCAUAAACCCCACAAACACCUAGUCCCAUGACCACUCUAGAUGUGUGCCAAUCAACCCAGAGACCACUGACGAGCUGGGCCUAUUCUGGUCCUUUUUCCAGAAAUUAAGACACCUUUUUUUUCCCCCUGAUAAUCAUCAGUAUUUUUUUUCCCUACCAAAUUCAGCAAAGGAAACUUUUCUGAUAGAAAAUGUCUAUUUCCAUUUCAUCUUUUUUGGCAGCUUGGUAGAAGAUAAACAAAUCUCUCUAGACCCUCAUUCCUGGUUGUAUACAAUUUGCCUGUUUUCUUUCUCUUAAAAAAAAAUUCCUGCACAAGGUCAAUUAUCUAAGCCUCCAGAUUCCUAUAAAAUGAAGAAUCUGGUUCUAAGAAUUGUUAUUCUUUCUUUAUGGAGCACUGUACUGAGCAGACACGAGGCGUGGUUCCUGCUCUUGGAUGUCUUUCAUUUUUAAGGCACUAAGAUACACAUACACAGGCACAAGCAUGUCACAUAAAGUUCACAAGUCACACAUGCCAAAACCAUACUGAUGCAUGCUAUUAUCCUUGCUUUGGGUGGCCCUGGCUUCACAUUGCUGAUCUGAACAGUUCUAAGCUUUUAGCAAGGGCCAGUUUGAGGAGACACACAGCUCUGGUCACUUCUGACAGCAGUUGGAGAAAGAACUUAGUUUCCCAGAAAUGAAAAUGGUAAAUAAUGAGUUUUGGUCGUGGCUAUACCUGUGACAAUCUAUUGUUUUCAGUUUCUUAUGACAUUAAAUAGCUUAACUACUCCUGAGAAAUGAGCUUUCUAUACCAUAUUUGUUUUGUAGGCAGUUUUAGAGAUUAUUUCUAACACCCACUUGUGAAUGUAUCAUGUUUUAAAUGACAUUGUUUCACUUCCUUAACGCAUAGUAGGCAUCUAAUACAUUUGUCAACUCAGGAAUGAAUUCCACAAAUGCAUUUUCUAUUGCCAUUGUAGGGAAAAAGACACAGGUAUUUGUGUCUAGUCACUAAUAAGUUAAGUAUGCAUAUGAUGGAAAUUAUAUUAUAUCAUUUUUAAUUAAUUAAUUGUCUUUUUAGGGCCACACCUGCAGCAUAUGGAAGUUCCCAGGCUAGGGGGGCCUAUACUACAGCCACAGAAACACCAUAUCCUAGCUGCAUCCACAACCUAUACCAGAUCCUUUAACCCACUGAGCAAGGCCAGGAUAUCAAACCCUCAUCUUCCUGGAUGCUAUUUGGGUUUUCAACCUGCCGAGUCACAACAGGAAUUCCUAUUUCACUUUCUUUUCUUUUCUUUUCUUUCUUUUUUUUUUUUUUUGUCUUUUGACUUUUUAAGGCCGCACCCACAACAUAUGGAGGUUCCCAGGCUAGGGAUCAAAUCAGAGCUGUAGCUGCCAGCCUAUGCCACAGCCACAGCCACUUUGGACCUACACCACAGCUCACAGCAACAAAACCCUGGAUCCAUUUAACCUACUGAGCGAGGCCAGGGAUCAAACCCACAUCGUCAUGGAUGCUAGUCGGGUUCGUUAACUGCUGAGCCACGAUGGGAACUUCCUAUUUCACUUUUGAAUAGCUAAGAAGUAUGGACCCUUUGCAUGUGCCAUGGGCCUUGCUAUUUAACCUAGGCAUUAUAAACUGCAAGCCUAUUUGCAGCAGGUGGAAACAAAUGCAUGUCUUUCAUCACAAAAGCCAUUGCCUGACAAGUCCUGGGAUGUCAAUGGUUAUAGGGCAGAGCUUCUGUCCUUUUCAUCUUUUUUCCACUUCAGCACAGAGUAGGACAUUAGGAAAUACUCGGUACAUAAAUACAGACUUAUGAAGUAGACCACUUAGGGUCCCAGGAACCUCAAAAUCCUAUCCACCAUAGAUAAGAUGUCCCUUUUAUUGUCCUCGAUUCUCAGAUUUUGAAAUGCAAUAAAAUAUUCAAACAGCCAAAAUCUAAGUACAUUGCAACACAGAGUAACACUGAGAUUAAUUCUGGAGCCUGAUUCUCCAGAUACUACCUUCUUUAAAUAUCAAGGCCUGUUCUAGCUGAUUCUCAUUUGAAAAAGGCAAGGCUUCACAGAGCCUUAUAAUGGCAACAGCUCGUCUACCAUCCCCAAACAGUGAUUUUUUUGUGGCCCUGUUCAGGGAACGAGGGAAAUAUUAAUAUGUGUUCUUCAAAUAUGAUGUAAAGAGAAUCUCAACCCCUUCUUCUCAAAAGAUCGAAUCUUGAACUCCAAGCUUAAUUAGGAGGAAACACAAGAUUGGUGGAUUUUCAAAACAAAUUCGAUUUCUGAAAGUAAACAUGAGGGGGUGGGGAAGCAAAUAUGUGAAUUGUUUGAAUAUUAGGCACAUAAAGGGGGUUUUGCUCAAGUUUGUAGAUCUUUUUUUGCAUCUGUGGAUUUAAAGAUUGUAGAAAAUUUUUAAAUAUGCUCAUUUUAAAACAUAUGUUUUACAGGAAGUAAACUCUCCUUAAUGAGAACUUGUAACUCAUUUUUUUCUUUUAUUUUAGCAUAAAUAAAUCAAACUGAGAAGCAGUCUCAUACCAAAAAGAACUUUUUUUCUUUUAAUUGAUAAGAUGUUAGCUUUAGUAACAUCUUUAGAAUUCCAGGCUGGAUUGUUGUAUUUCCACUGAUCUUCACUUGUAAAGGUUUCAGUCUCUUAAUUUAACAACGAGAAAAUAUGAAAUGCUGAGCCCAAGCCUAUGUUUUCAGAUAUUUUACCCUCAGUAAGAUUGAUAUGCUAUCUGGUUUAUAGAAACGUUACACAUUAAUACAUUUCUGAGCAAUGCUAAAAAGUUGUGAUUCAUUACUUCCAACUUUUAAAUAUUCUAGAAGGAAGAAGCUUUUCAUUCUUGGGAGUGGAAGGGGGCAGAAAAGCUCCUGAUUUUAGGUGGUAUCUUUUCUUCAUUUUUUAGGGCCAAGAGAUUGACCAGCCGCAAGGAAAUAAUAUAAAUCCUCAGGUAUACAUUGUUUUCAACACGAUAACAAAGGCCUAAACGUUGUGAAUAAACUUGCGCUGAAAUAAUAAGAUGAUGGCAGUAAUUAUUUUAAUGAGAAUUUCCCUAGCCAGAAUAACAAACAGAUACAUCCCCUAAUGUUACACUGAAAGGUAGUGCAUAAGUACACAUAUUGCUGUGGUGACUAAUGUGUGAUAAGAGAAUCCUUCUGCUCACAGUUUGGGCAUUUAUGUCACCACAUAUUAUUGAUAGCACAUAUUACUUUUACUACCCGGUGUCUUUAUUAUGUAAAAUCUAAUUGCAGGAAAAAUUAUUUUCAUCCCCUUGAUUUUGAUAGGCAUUUCCACAGAAAGGAUGGGAUACGGAGAAGGCUGUGCAUUGUUGAAUUCCACCGUCCCUCAGGAUGUUUGCUCAUAACAGUUCUAUGAGCACUGUACACGCCUUUUAGGAGGGAAGGAAAUUAAGGAUAAUAGAUCUGUGAAAAAAUAAGGAUGAGGUUCUGAUGAAGAUACAAGGAAACCGGACCACUCGGAAGCUUGAGCCCUCUGAUUUCUGCAUUCAGGCGUUGCCAACCGCAGAGUGUUUGAACUCUUUCCCUGAACUAAAACCCCUGAUGAAAUAUCACAUUAACUGCACCUUGGUCCUGAAGUGGAGAUAAGAUUAGAUUUUUCUGGGUGUAAUUUCAAGUAUGAUGCUACUUUGGUGGAAUGCAUUUCAAGAGAGCAAGUGGGGUAACAAAAAUCUGGCAUCCAGAACCAAGCAAGCCUAAGUGUCGGGCCCCUGUACAGUUUCCACAAAGAAGGUCAAAAGGGGCUGAGAGGAAAGGUGUAUCAAAGGUAUCCUUGAAACUCAGAGCCAAUAAAAAUGAAACUAUUCUCUUCUGAGACCUAAUUAACUUUUAUAUCCAAAGCUACACUGCACAUUUGUUCAUUGCUUAUGACUAGGACUAAAAAAAUAUAUGUGCCAUGGAACUAGGCUUUUAAGUGAUCUAUUGGGUGGCUUUUCCAAGUCUGCAAGGAAUAUUUUGUUCUUCAGACGCGUUCACUCAAUGAAUAAGUAAGUCUAUGCUAAUUUUUUUCUCUCAAAAUGUUAAGUAUUUUCUUGCAUCUAUUUUCAAGGAAUCAGAGACUUUCUCCUGUAACUUCCAAAAUAUUCCCUUCAAAUCCUAAAACAAAACCAAAACAAAAAUGUUCCAGAAACAAAUUUCAUGCUACCGGCUUUGCAAGGAUUAGUCUUCUAUUAGAGUCACUGUUCCUAUAUGAUCCUUUUUCAUGUUUUAAAGGAGGAUACAUAUUUUUCUGUUACCUUUGCUGACUGUAAAGCAAUCACAGGAACCUGCAGGAGGCACCAUAAAUAUGCAAAUUUCUGAGAGAUAACUGUUUUCAGUGGUUAUGCCUUCAAGUAGUCGGGGAAACAGGAGAUCCAGAGCUUCCUACUUCCAAGUAAUUCGUAUGUUGGUAGUGCCCCCUGCUGCAAUCACAGGUUGUCCAAGAAAGGGAGGAUAAAAUUUGGAAGGAUUUAGGUCUGGUUAAUGUGCAAAAAUACCCUCUGCUCCAGCAAGAGCCACACCCAGUUCAGAGUUCCUCUCGCCCAUCACAAAUUCAUGUUAAACACUUUCCUCUGCCUAAAAUUGACAAGACCUGCUUUCAGCUCCAAACCUUUAAAUAUGCAGGUUACAUAGAGAUAGACUGCUUUUC
rnacentral:lncRNA from 1 species